UGCGUAGGCGGUCCCGCAAGUCCGCUGUGAAAGCCCCGGGCUUAACCUGGGAAUGGCAGUGGAAACUAUGGGACUUGAAUCUGGCAGAGGGGGGUGGAAUGCCACGUGUAGCAGUGAAAUGCGUAGAUAUGUGGCGGAACACCGAUGGCGAAGGCAGCCCCCUGGGCUGAGAUUGACGCUCAGGCACGAAAGCGUGGGGAGCAAACAGGAUUAGAUACCCUGGUAGUCCACGCCCUAAACGAUGAUCACUAGGUGUUGGGGAAGCGAUUUCUCAGUACCGCAGCUAACGCGUGAAGUGAUCCGCCUGGGGAGUACGGUCGCAAGAUUAAA
rnacentral:rRNA from 1 species